rnacentral:rRNA from 1 species
AUUGAACGCUGGCGGCAUGCCUUACACAUGCAAGUCGAACGGUAACAGGUUAAGCUGACGAGUGGCGAACGGGUGAGUAAUACAUCGGAACGUGCCCAGUCGUGGGGGAUAACGCAGCGAAAGCUGUGCUAAUACCGCAUACGAUCUAUGGAUGAAAGCGGGGGACCGUAAGGCCUCGCGCGAUUGGAGCGGCCGAUGUCAGAUUAGCUAGUUGGUGGGGUAAAGGCCCACCAAGGCGACGAUCUGUAGCUGGUCUGAGAGGACGACCAGCCACACUGGGACUGAGACACGGCCCAGACUCCUACGGGAGGCAGCAGUGGGGAAUUUUGGACAAUGGGCGCAAGCCUGAUCCAGCAAUGCCGCGUGCAGGAAGAAGGCCUUCGGGUUGUAAACUGCUUUUGUACGGAACGAAAAGAUUCGGGUUAAUACCCUGGGCUCAUGACGGUACCGUAAGAAUAAGCACCGGCUAACUACGUGCCAGCCGCCGCCGUAACAC